CUUUACUAUACCGAAAUACUCAAUAUUUUGAAAUAUUGAUAAUUGAUAAUUUUUAAUUUAUUUUAAUAGUUAUUGUUUAUUAUGACUUAUUAGUAACGAUUAAAAUUUCUUUUUUAGAAGUCAUAUCUGCUAAACCAGAUAUUGCCCCAGG